UUCUUCUUCUCCUCCUUUUGGUCUUUGUUGUUGGGUUGUUCUCUUCGGGAAUGGUCGAUCCACUCAUGAACGUCAAGAUUGCAAACAACUCUAUCUUCAAGGUUUCUAGCUUCCAAAUGAAGGCGAGAAAACUGGCACUUGACGUUGAUUAUGAUGACCCUAGAGCCAAUAACCGGCAUGACCGCAAGAAGCCCGGCAAUGGAAAGCCUUGACAUAGCCUCACCUAGGCUUAUGAGCUCAAUAAUAACAAUAUCUUUUAGCUUUACUUUAGUUCAACACGUCUAAUGAAAAUACUUUAAGUAAUUAAGUUAUGUUUAGAAUAACAAGUUUCCGUCAUUACUAAUAUAUUUGUUAUGGAACGAGAAUGUAUAUUAGCUUUAUCAAAUGGGAUAGACCUUUUGUAAUAAAGCCUAAAUCAAUGGAUACAGUCAUC